rnacentral:rRNA from 1 species
ACGGCUCAGUAACACGUCGGUAACCUGCCCUAAGGUCAGUGAUAGCCUCGCGUAAGUGAGGGUAAUAACUGAUAGAGAAGUUCGUCUGGAAAGAUUUCUUCUCAUAAACUCGUGCCUUAGGAUGGGCCGGCGGCGGAUUAGGCUGUUGGCGGUGUAACGGACCACCAAACCGAAGAUCUGUACGGGCCAUGAGAGUGGGAGCCCGGAGAGGGACACUGAGAUACUGGUCCCAGCCCUACGGGGUGCAGCAGGCGCGAAACCUUUUCAAUGCGCGAAAGCGUGAGAAGGGAAUUCCAAGUGCUUAAGUUUUACUUAGGCUUUUGCCAAGUGUAAAAAGCUUGGCGAAUAAGGGGUGGGUAAGACUGGUGCCAGCCGCCGCGGUAACACCAGCGCCUCGAGUGGGGAUCGCGAUUAUUGGGUCUAAAGCGUCCGUAGCAGGCUCGGUAAAUGCUUUGUGAAAUCGGCAGGCUUAACCUGCCGGCGCGCAGAGUAGACUGCAGAGCUCGAGACCGGAAGAGGUUAGAAGUAUUCCCUGGGUACCGGUAAAAUGGGUUAAUCCAAGGAGGACUACCUAUGGCGAAGGCAUCUAACCAGGACGGAUCUGACUGUGAGGGACGAAAGCUAGGGGAGCAAAACGGAUUAGAUACCCGAGUAGUCCUAGCCGUAAACGCUGCGAGCAAGGUAUUGCGCCUCCCACGAGGAUGCGCAGUGUCGAAGAGAAGUCGUUAAGCUC